rnacentral:ncRNA from 1 species
GACAGGUGGUGCAUGGUUGUCGUCAGCUCGUGUCGUGAGAUGUUGGGUUAAGUCCCGCAACGAGCGCAACCCCUAUCUUUAGUAGCCAGCAUUUAAGGUGGGCACUCUAGAGAGACUGCCAGGGAUAACCUGGAGGAAGGUGGGGAUGACGUCAAAUCAUCAUGCCCCUUAUGACUAGGGCUACACACGUGCUACAAUGGUGAUAACAAAGUGAAGCAGCCUCGUGAGAGUGAGCAAAUCACAAAAAUGUCAUCUCAGUUCGGAUUGUAGUCUGCAACUCGACUACAUGAAGCUGGAAUCGCUAGUAAUCGCGAAUCAGAAUGUCGCGGUGAAUACGUUCCCGGGUCUUGUACACACCGCCCGUCACACCAUGGGAGUUGGUAAUGCCCGAAGUCAGUGACCCAACCGUAAGGAGGGAGCUGCCGAAGGCAGGAUCAAUAACUGGGGUGAAGUCGUAACAAGGUAGCCGUAUCGGAAGGUGCGGCUGGAUCACCUCCUUU